AUAUAUAUAUAUAUAUAUAUAUAUAUAUAUAUAUAUAUGCAAGAUCUCGUGAAAACCAUCUCUAGGCUGAAAACUGAAAACAAUGAAUCUCAGCCGUCGAUCUUUCAUCAUGCGGACAUAAAUCAAUUAAUUUAAUCUGACCAUCAUGCGGUUUAUUUGAAACCCAUUUUUUUUACUGCCAUAAACUUUUUCUCUCCACUCUCCUCUCUCCUCUCUCCCCUCUUCUCUCUCCUUCCUUUCUCUUCUGGAACGUCGUUUGAAGCGCUUUUUUUCUACCAAAAACUUCCUCUCUCCUCUCUCCUCUCUUUUGUCUCCUUCCCUUCUCUUCUGGAAUGUUACUUUUUCUCCCUUCUAAGCUGAAUCUUCUUCUUGUUUGCAGCAUUUUUCAUCCUCAAUUUAUAAUUUCAGUGCUGAAAUUCACCUUGAUGCAAAGGACCUUGGUGAUACAAUCAAAGGAGGAAAUAAAGCAACAAGUCAAAACAAAGCUAAGGCUAUGAUAUUUCUUCACCACCACCUCCAUGAGGGGUCUUAAGAUUGAGUACUUGACUGUGAAAGAUCCACAAGUCCAUUGGAGUAAUCUAAAGGAAAGGUAUGACCACCAGAAAACUGUAAUAGUACCCAAAGCUCGUUAUGACUGGUUACAUUUAAGACUACAAGACUUUAGGUCUGUAAGUGAAUAUAACUCAGCUAUGUUCAGAAUUACUUGACAGUUGAAAUUAUGUGAAAACAAAAUCAUUGAUGCAGAAAUGCUAGAGAAAAAAUACACUACCUUUCAUGCGAAUAAUGUUGUCCUACAGAUACAAUACCGUGAAAAGAAAUUUAAGAAAUAUUCUGAACUUAUAUCUUGUCUCCUCGUGGCUGAGCAAAAUAACGAGCUACUGAUGAAAAAUCAUGAAUCACGUCUAACUGCUUCUGCUCCAUUCCCUGAAGCGAAUGCGGCAUCCCAUAAUGGGAAAGAAAAAUAUCAUGCCAACAAUAGUGGUUGAGGACGUGGAUAUGGAUAUGGUCGAGGUCGAGGUCGAGGCCGAGGUGGUUCUUUCAAGAAUUCAUAUUCCCACCAAAAGAGGGACAAUAAAGAUGAUAACAAACAAGAGAAAGAUAAAAAUGAGAACGUGAUCAAUGUAUGUUACCUAUGUGGAGGAAAAGGUCAUUGGUCUCGUACGUGUCGUACACCAAAACACUUGGUUGACCUCUAUCAAUAAUCAUUGAAGCAAAAGGGAAAGAAAAUAGAAACAAAUCUUGUGAACUAAGAUGGCGAAGGUGAUUUUGAUUGUGGCAAUACAACUCACCUGGAAGUUGUUGAUUUCUUCACCACCCCUGAAGGGACUAACUAAUCCUUAGAUUUGAUUAUGGUCAUUUAAAGAAUAAAACUUUGUUUUCGUUUAUUAAGUUAUUACUAUGUACUUUUGUUUGGAUUAUGUUAUUUUAUUUUAGAUUUUAUUUAUUAGUACUAUGAUUUUAUAUGACAUUGUUAAAUUUUGGUUA